CCCUAUGGGGUGCAGCAGGCGAGAAAACUUUGCAAUGUGCGAAAGCACGACAAGGUUAAUCCGAGUGAUUUCUGCUAAAGAAAUCUUUUGCCAGUUCUAAAAAUACUGGUGAAUAAGGGGUGGGCAAGUUCUGGUGUCAGCCGCCGCGGUAAAACCAGCACCUCAAGUUGUCAGGAGGAUUAUUGGGCCUAAAGCAUCCGUAGCCGGCUCUGUUAGUUUUCGGUUAAAUCCAUAUGCUCAACAUAUGGGCUGUCGGAAAUACUGCAGAGCUAGGGAAUGGGAGAGGUAGACGGUACUCGGUAGGAAGGGGUAAAAUCCUUUGAUCUAUUGAUGACCACCUGUGGCGAAGGCGGUCUACCAGAACAUGUUCGACGGUGAGGGAUGAAAGCUGGGGGAGCAAACCGGAUUAGAUACCCGGGUAGUCCCAGCUGUAAACGAUGCAGACUAGAUGAUGCAUUAGCAUAUAGCUAGUGCAGUGUCUCAGGGAAGCCGUUAAGUCUGCCGCCUGGGAAGUACGUACGCAAGUAUGAAACUUAAAGGAAUUGGCGGGGGAGCACCACAAGGGGUGAAGCCUGCGGUUCAAUUGGAGUCAACGCCAGAAAUCUUACCCGGAGAGACAGCAGAAUGAAGGUCAAGCUGAAGACUUUACCAGACAAGCUGAGAGGUGGUGCAUGGCCA
rnacentral:rRNA from 1 species